rnacentral:rRNA from 1 species
UACGUAGGGGGCAAGCGUUGUCCGGAUUUAUUGGGCGUAAAGAGCGUGUAGGCGGCUAUGCAGGUCCGCUGUGAAAACUCGAGGCUCAACCUCGAGACGUCGGUGGAAACCGCAUGGCUAGAGUCCGGAAGAGGAGAGUGGAAUUCCCGGUGUAGCGGUGAAAUGCGCAGAUAUCGGGAAGAACACCCGCGGCGAAGGCGGCUCUCUGGGACGGUACUGACGCUGAGACGCGAAAGCGUGGGGAGCGAACAGG